rnacentral:lncRNA from 1 species
AACUUACUAAAUUUGCACAAGUGUUGCUUAAAACUAUGAAAUUAAGAGGAAAGAAUGGUUUAGAGGGAACAAGGGAAUUUCGGCAGUAGAGGAAAGAAAAUAAAAGAUAAUCGAGUAAGAAGCAAAGAAAAAAAAAUUCGGUAGAGAUGGGGGAGAGAAAACAUCAGAAAGAAUGAGAGAAAAAUGACUCUCUUUUUUUCAAAAAAGGAAAAAGUGAUCAGAUUUUG